rnacentral:rRNA from 1 species
GACGGGGGAUGCAAGUGUUAUCCGGAAUCACUGGGCGUAAAGCGUCUGCAGGUGGUUCCCUAAGUCCACUGUUAAACCUUGAGGCUCAACCUCAAAUCUGCAUUGGAAACUAGGAGACUUGAGUAUAGUAGGGGUAGAGGGAAUUUCCAGUGGAGCGGUGAAAUGCGUAGAUAUUGGAAAGAACACCGAUGGCGAAGGCACUCUACUGGGCUAUUACUGACACUCAGAGACGAAAGCUAGGGGAGCAAAUGGG